rnacentral:rRNA from 1 species
CUACGGGCUGCUGCAGUGGGGAAUCUUAGACAAUGGGCGCAAGCCUGAUCUAGCCAUGCCGCGUGAGUGAUGAAGGCCUUAGGGUCGUAAAGCUCUUUCGCCUGUGAAGAUAAUGACUGUAGCAGGUAAAGAAACCCCGGCUAACUCCGUGCCAGCAGCCGCGGUAAUACGGAGGGGGUUAGCGUUGUUCGGAAUUACUGGGCGUAAAGCGCGCGUAGGCGGACAUUUAAGUCAGAGGUGAAAUCCCAGGGCUCAACCCUGGAACUGCCUUUGAUACUGGGUGUCUUGAGUUCGAGAGAGGUGAGUGGAAUUCCGAGUGUAGAGGUGAAAUUCGUAGAUAUUCGGAGGAACACCAGUGGCGAAGGCGGCUCACUGGCUCGAUACUGACGCUGAGGUGCGAAAGUGUGGGGAGCAAACAGGAUUAGAUACCCUUGUAGUC